GACGAACGCUGGCGGCGUGCUUAACACAUGCAAGUCGAGCGGUAAGGCCCUUUCGGGGGUACACGAGCGGCGAACGGGUGAGUAACACGUGGGUGACCUGCCCUUAGCUCUGGGAUAAGCCUGGGAAACUGGGUCUAAUACCGGAUAUGACUCCAUGACGCAUGUUGUGGGGUGGAAAGCCUUGUGCGGCUAGGGAUGGGCCCGCGGCCUAUCAGCUUGUUGGUGGGGUGAUGGCCUACCAAGGCGACGACGGGUAGCCGGCCUGAGAGGGCGACCGGCCACACUGGGACUGAGACACGGCCCAGACUCCUACGGGAGGCAGCAGUGGGGAAUCUUGCGCAAUGGGGGAAACCCUGACGAAGCAACGCCGCGUGGAGGAUGAAGGCC
rnacentral:rRNA from 1 species